AGAGUUUGAUCAUGGCUCAGGACGAACGCUGGCGGCGUGCUUAACACAUGCAAGUCGAACGAGAAUCUACUGAAAGAGUUUUCGGACAAUGGAAGUAGAGGAAAGUGGCGCACGGGUGAGUAACGCGUAUGCAACUUACCUAUCAGAGGGGGAUAACCCGGCGAAAGUCGGACUAAUACCGCAUGAAGCAGGGGCCCCGCAUGGGGAUAUUUGCUAAAGAUUCAUCGCUGAUAGAUAGGCAUGCGUUCCAUUAGGCAGUUGGCGGGGUAACGGCCCACCAAACCGACGAUGGAUAGGGGUUCUGAGAGGAAGGUCCCCCACAUUGGUACUGAGACACGGACCAAACUCCUACGGGAGGCAGA
rnacentral:rRNA from 1 species